AUUCCAGCUCCAAUAGCGUAUAUUUAAGUUGUUGCAGUUAAAAAGCUCGUAGUUGGAUCUUGGGUCGUAAGGGUCGGUCCGCCUACUCGGUGUGCACCUGCCCUUCCGUCCCUUUUGUCGGCGGCGUGCUCCUGGCCUUAAUUGGCUGGGUCGCGGUUCCGGCGCUGUUACUUUGAAAAAAUUAGAGUGCUCAAAGCAAGCUUAUGCUCUGAAUACAUUAGCAUGGAAUAACGUGAUAGGAGUCUGGUCCUAUUGUGUUGGCCUUCGGGACCGGAGCAAUGAUUAAUAGGGACUGUCGGGGGCAUUCGUAUUUCAUUGUCAGAGGUGAAAUUCUUGGAUUUAUGAAAGACGGACCACUGCGAAAGCAUUUGCCAAGGAUGUUUUCAUCA
rnacentral:rRNA from 1 species